CGAGCCGAAGGGGUGGGCGCUGC
rnacentral:miRNA from 1 species